UCGUUCGAACUGCCAUGCCAGGGAACUCCUUGGAGCUGGCUUUGGUGUGCUCGGUCCCUGGUUUCGGUGGGAAGUAGCAGGCGUACUGUCUAGGGGACGGCUGCUCCUCUUUUGCACCCUGCUCUAGGAGGAGGAGGUGGAUGUGGAGUAGGAGGAUGAUACGACUCAUUCAUAUGUCUGCCCUAUCAACUUUCGAUGUUACUAUCUGCGCCUACCAUGGUGACCACGAGUAAUGGAGAAUCAGAGUUCGAUUCCGGAGAGGGAGCCUGAGAAAUGGCUACCACAUCCAAGGAAGGCAGCAGGCGCGCAAAUUAUCCACUCCCGACGCGGGGAGAUAGUGACGA